GACGAACGCUGGCGGCGUGCCUAAUACAUGCAAGUAGAACGCACAGUUUAUACCGUAGCUUGCUACACCAUAGACUGUGAGUUGCGAACGGGUGAGUAACGCGUAGGUAACCUGCCUGGUAGCGGGGGAUAACUAUUGGAAACGAUAGCUAAUACCGCAUAAUAUUAAUUAUUGCAUGAUAAUUAAUUGAAAGGUGCAAUUGCACCACUACCAGAUGGACCUGCGUUGUAUUAGCUAGUAGGUGAGGUAACGGCUCACCUAGGCGACGAUACAUAGCCGACCUGAGAGGGUGAUCGGCCACACUGGGACUGAGACACAGCCCAGACUCCUACGGGAGGCAGCAGUAGGGAAUCUUCGGCAAUGGACGAAAGUCUGACCGAGCAACGCCGCGUGAGUGAAGAAGGGUUUCGGAUCGUAAAGCUCUGUUGUAAGAGAAGAACGGGUGUGAGAGUGGAAAGUUCACACUGUGACGGUAUCUUACCAGAAAGGGACGGCUAACUACGUG
rnacentral:rRNA from 1 species